rnacentral:rRNA from 1 species
CUUGCCUUAUAUGAGAGGUCUAGCCUGCCCAGUGACAUUGUUCAACGGCCGCGGUAUCCUAACCGUGCGAAGGUAGCGUAAUCAUUUGUUCUUUAAAUGAGGACUAGUAUGAAAGGCAUCACGAGAGUUAUACUGUCUCCUUUCUCUAAUCAGUGAAACUAAUCUCCCCGUGAAGAAGCGAGGAUAAAAAUAUAAGACGAGAAGACCCUAUGGAGCUUUAAACAAAUGAUAUAUGCCCUUCUAACCUUAAAUUUCAGAAAAAUCUCUUAUUAUGGUAUAGUAACUUAUAGUUUUUGGUUGGGGUGACCACGGAAUAUAAAACAACUUCCGCAAUGAAAGAUUCUCUUUCACUAAGUUAAGGACUACAGCCCUAUUCAUCAAUAAAUUGACAUAAUUGACCCAACAUGUUGAUUAAUGAAC